rnacentral:rRNA from 1 species
CCAACAGGGAUUGCCUCAGUAACGGCGAGUGAAGCGGCAACAGCUCAAAUUUGAAAUCUGGCCCCGACCCGGGGUCCGAGUUGUAAUUUGCAGAGGAUGCCUCGGGCGCGGUACCGGCUUAAGUCCCUAGGAACAGGGCGUCAUAGAGGGUGAGAACCCCGUAUGCGGCCGGCCACCAACCCCGUAUGAGGUUCCUUCGACGAGUCGAGUUGUUUGGGAAUGCAGCUCAAAACGGGUGGUAAAUUCCAUCUAAAGCUAAAUACCUGCCAGAGACCGAUAGCGCACAAGUAGAGUGAUCGAAAGGUGAAAAGCACUUUGGAAAGAGAGUCAAACAGUACGUGAAAUUGUUGAAAGGGAAGCGCUUGCGACCAGAGCUGUCCGGCGACGUUCGGCGGGGGUUCUCCCCCGUGCAUUCGCCGCCGGGCAGGCCAGCAUCGGUUCCAGCGGCCGGAAAAAGGUCUCGGGAAUGUAGCUCCUCCCGGGGAGUGUUUUAUAGCCCCUGAUGACAUACGGCCAGCGGGGACCGAGGACCGCGCCUCCGGGCAAGGAUGCUGGCGUAAUGGACGUAAGCGGCCCGUCUUGAAACACGGACCAAGGAGUCUAACAUCUAUGCGAGUGUUUGGGCGUCAAACCCAUGCGCGCAAUGAAAGUGAACGAAGGUGGGAACCCUCUAGGGCGCACCAUCGACCGAUCCCGAAGUUUACGGAAGGAUUUGAGUAUGAGCAUAGACGUUGGGACCCGAAAGAUGGUGAACUAUACCUGAAUAGGGUGAAGCCAGAGGAAACUCUGGUGGAGGCUCGCAGCGGUUCUGACGUGCAAAUCGAUCGUCAAAUUUGGGUAUAGGGGCGAAAGACUAAUCGAACCAUCUAGUAGCUGGUUCCUGCCGAAGUUUCCCUCAGGAUA